rnacentral:rRNA from 1 species
CCCAGACUCCUACGGGAGGCAGCAGUGGGGAAUAUUGCACAAUGGGGGAAAUCCUGAUGCAGCAACGCCGCGUGAGUGAGGAAGUAUUUCGGUAUGUAAAGCUCUAUCAGCAGGGAAUAGAAAAGAAGGUACCUGAAAAAGAAGCCCCGGCUAACUACGUGCCAGCAGCCGCGGUAAUACGUAGGGGGCAAGCGUUAUCCGGAUUUACUGGGUGUAAAGGGAGCGUAGGCGGCGCGUUAAGUCUGAUGUGAAAACCCGAGGCUCAACCACGGAAGUGCAUUGGAAACUGGCGGGCUGGAGUGCCGGAGAGGUAAGCGGAAUUCCUAGUGUAGCGGUGAAAUGCGUAGAUAUUAGGAGGAACACCGGUGGCGAAGGCGGCCUGCUGGACUGCGACUGACGUUGAGGCCCGAAAGCGUGGGGAGCAAACAGGAUUAGAUACCCCAGUA